CCGGGUAGGCGGGUAAAAACAUUGUAACAAAUAGAUCUAUACUUCUAUAGGUUAGGGAAUGCAUGUCUAAGAUUCUAGCAACAUGGUGGUCAGUAAAUGUCUCUGGGCAUCUAAACUAUUACCUAAAAAAGUCUAAGUUCAUGACAGUAAUGAGAAUCAUGUCAAGCAGUUCUGAUGGUGUUCCACAAUGGCUAAAGGAUCAUCAUACAUGUAUGUACAUGCUCAUUCUUCCUGUUUGGAUCUUGAGAACUUUGACAUUUAUUCAAUAUUUGAUGUAAGUACUAUGGCCUGUAGUUUUAUAUUGAAUACCAUUUUGUAACAGAUAAUUUGUUAUUUCUGUGAAAGAAUUUAAUUAACUUGCAAUUGUACAGCAUUAACAGUCAUUACAAGUGAAGGUCUAUCAUAUUUGAUGUUUUACUCUUACUAGACCUAGACGUAGGACACAUAUAACCUUCCUCAUUUUCAUCUUCUUCUAUCACUUCUACAAAUCUCAAAGUAUCCUUUUCUAUCUCUAAAUCACGCUCAAAAUAUCCUCAUCUAUCACUAAAUCACACUCAAAAUAUCCUCAUCUAUCACUAAAUCACUCUUAAAAUAUACUCAUCUAUCACUAAAUUAUGCUCAAAAUAUUCACAUUGUCAGGUUUUUUUUAUUACAUGGCUCAAGGGUACCAGGUAUUUAGGGAAAUUAUAACUUGGAUUGCUUUGGUUGUAGUAAUGUAAUGUCCAUUUGCUUGUAGUAAUGCAGUGUCUUACUAGUUGAUGUUAGCGUGGGUUAUUCAUUUGUGGGUGUGUGGAGUGGAGCUUGAACUGAAACUCGAGUUGGUGUCCAGCGAUAUCCGUGUCAAUCUCUUUAUAUUGUCCCAUGAUGGCCAUUCAAAUUUUGAACAUAAUGGCUCUGGUAUGUGAUCCACAUAUUCAGUGAGGCUCUUUGUCAUUUCUUUUGGGUCCUUACGAAAUUCAUCAAACAAAUAGUUCAUAGGUUUAUGGACAUUAACUGAAAAAUAAAAAUUAAAUUUUUUAGUAAAUAUAUAAAAAAAAAAUUUACGAGCAAUGUAACAUAACAUAAUGCGUAAAUAUAACUUCAGUUCCAUAAACCUUGCUAUGUAAUUAAGAUACAAAUAUUUGUUUAAGUUACAAGACUUUUGCGUUAGUUUCAAAAGAAAUAAAAAAAAUAAUUUCAACUUUGUGUUGGAGAUUUCUUUUGUUUUUUUUUUUGAUGCUGUAGUCUUCUUUUUUGUAUUUUGGAAAAAUGAUACUACAUCGUACAUUUCCUUCCUCGUCUGUGUCAUCAGUUUCCUCUCCACAAUUUUCAUUGUAUUGCAUGGCUGCAAUGUGGAGCCUAGUCAAUAAACAAAUGAAGGACAUUUAGAAAUAUGGUACUCUAAACUAGUAGUACUAACAGGUUGAUGAAAUAUUAUAUGGUAUAAUAUUACUUAACUGCUUCGCAUUCCUAAAUAAAAAAAAAGCAGUGUGCUUUGGUGCAAAUUUUAUUACAAGACUGGAAUGAUUCCAGAGCAGCUGUUUGGUAUAUUAGAGAAUAGCUUUUUAAUUUCCUUUUUCAAUUUGCGAUUGUCUAAGAUUUUGCAAACACUUCCAUAUAGUUUCUGUAAAGAAUUAACGUAGAAAAAAGGUCGGAAUAUUUCAAGAUUAUCCUUCUGUUGGUGAGAAAACAUUCAAACAGGUUUCCCAAGACUUAAGUUAAACAUUAAUUUAAUAUAGUAAAUCAAGAAAAUACUCACCAGGCUCAAACUGUAUUGUACUCAAUGCCAUGUAAACAUGAGGGAAGCAGCAAAUUUGGGUGACCUGUAUGCUGAUUGACCAAGUGAUUUAAAAUGCUUUGCCAUUUGGCAAGCAUUAAAUCGCAAUUACCAUCUGAAGUUGAAACAGCACACCAAUACAAAUGGUUGAUGAUAAAUUUUUUCCAUCUGUUUACUAGCUCUCCCUCUUGUUUUAAACUUAUGUAAUCCAAUUUUUUUUUUAAGCCCUACAAAAAAUAUAGAUACAUUUUAAACAAACUGUAAUGCAUUUUAAACAUUGUACAGCACUUUUAAAAUAUGAAAGUUAAAUUUUGGCACAACAUACCUUUAGCAACAUGCCAAAUGUCAUAAAAAAUUGCCUUAUGUAAUUCUUUUCAGUUCGUAGGAACUUUAAAACAGAUGUAAGACAAUCUGUCGUUAAGCACUAAAUAAUCAGCCCACUUUCUUCCAGGAAAUCUAGAGAUCCUUUCAAUCCUUCCAACUCACAUACAUUGCUAUUGGCAUUUUCAGUACUCUUAAAAAAAAAGUUAAAUUUUAAAAAAUAUUUUAGUUUUUCUAAGUUAUAAAAAAAAGUCUUACCUGUACAACUUGAACGUCCAAAACCUUGUUGAUUUGGCACUCCAAAAUGGAAUACAAACCAUAUUUGGCAUUAUGUCCUUGAGAGUCACUGUGCCCAUCUCCUGCUAGGUUGAGACUCAAGUUAGUUAUUUUAAGUUGAUUUAUAAUGUCUUUCUGUUCAUUUGAAAAUACAUUGUCCACCUUUAGCAACAUGCCAAAUGUCAUAAAAGAUGCCUUAUGUAAUUCUUUUGAGUUCGUAGGAACUUUAAAACAGAUGUAAGACAAUCUGUCGUUAAGCACUAAAUAAUCAGCCCACUUUCUUCCAGGAAAUCUAGAGAUCCUUUCAAUCCUUCCAACUCACAUGCAUUGCUAUUGGCAACUUCAGUACUCUUAAAAAAAAAAGGUUAAAUUUUAAAAAAUAUUUUAGUUUUUCUAAGUCAUAAAAAAAAAGUCUUACCUGUACAACUUGAACGUCCAAAACCUUGUUGAUUUGGCACUCCAAAAUGGAAUACAAACCAUAUUAGGCAUUAUGUCCUGGAGAGUCACUGUGCCCAUCUCCUGCUAGGUUGAGACUCAAGUUAGUUAUUUUAAGUUGAUUUAUAAUGUCUUUCUGUUCAUUUGAAAAUACAUUCUCCACCGUAGCAUGUAAGUAGUCUUUCUGGUGUUUAAAAAAAACUUAGAUUCUGAAACUCUCACAAAAUUUAAGGCAUCCAAAAAUUGCAUUGUCCAAAACCUUGAUGAUUUGGCACUCCAAAAUGGAAUACAAACCAUAUUUGGCAUUAUGUCCUGAAGAGUCAUUGUGCCCAUCUCCUGCUAGGUUGAGACUCAAGUUAGUUAUUUUAAGUUGAUUUAUAAUGUCUUUCUGUUCAUUUGAAAAUACAUUCUCCACAUUUAGCAACAUGCCAAAUGUCAUAAAAGUGCCUUAUGUAAUUCUUUUGAGUUCGUAGGAACUUUAAAACAGAUGUAUGACAAUCUGUCAUUAAGCACUAAAUAAUCAGUCCACUUUCUUCCAGGAAAUCUAGAGAUCCUUUCAAUCCUUCUAACUCACAUGCAUUGCUAUUGGCAUUUUCAGUACUCUUAGAAAAAAAAGGUUAAAUUUUAUAAAAAUAUUUUAGUUUUUCUAAGUCAUAUAAUAAAAAAAAAAGUCUUACAAACCAUAUUUAGCAUUAUGUCCUGGAGAGUCACUGCGCCCAUCUCCUGCUACUUGAACGUCCAAAACCUUGUUGAUUUGGCACUCCAAAAUAGAAUACAAACCAUAUUUAGCAUUAUGUCCUGGAGAUUAACUGCGCCCAUCUCCUGCUAGGUUGAGACUCAAGUUAGUUAUUUUAAGGUGAUUUAUAAUGUCUUUCUGUUCAUUUAAAAAUACAUUCUCCACCGUGGCAUGUAAGUAGUCUUUCUGGUGUUUAAAAACUUUGAUUCUGAAACUCUCACAAAAAUUAAAGCAUCCAAAAAUUGCAUUGUCCAAAACCUUGUUGAUUUGGCACUCCAAAAUAGAAUAUGAACCAUAUUUAGCAUUAUGUCCUGGAGAGUCAUUGUGCCCAUCUCCUGCUAGGUUGAGACUCAAGUUAGUUAUUUUAAGUUGAUUUAUAAUGUCUUUCUGUUCAUUUGAAAAUACAUUCUCCACCUUUAGCAACAUGCCAAAUGUCAUAAAAAGAUGCCUUAUGUAAUUCUUUUGAGUUCGUAGGAACUUUGAAACAGAUGUAAGACAAUCUGUCAUUAAGCACUAAAUAAUCAGUCCACUUUCUUCCAGGAAAUCUAGAGAUCCUUUCAAUCCUUCCAACUCACAUGCAUUGCUAUUGGCAACUUCAGUACUCUUAAAAACAGAUAGUCGUAGGUUUAAUAUAUAAGUUUCCAUCUCCUAGACUGGCUGCCAACGAAGGCUGUAGAGCCCAGUCUGGCCAGAGCUUGAAUUGCAGUUUUAGUUCUUCACAUCAACUUCUAUUAGCAUUGCAACCCACAAUUGCACAAUUUUUAUACAUAGUUUUCCAGGCAUAGAUUUUUAAAUAUUUAUCGUUGUAUUUAUAUUAUAAUUUUUUGCAAGUCUUCAUGAAUUUAUAUUUUGUCAAUUAGGCUACAUCUCAAUUCCAGUAGUAGAACAGUUUUUGGCCUCUUUCGGUCGUUGGGUGGUGGGUGCCACUGGUAAAGUUUUGAGAUCGUGUAGAUUAUUCAAAUUUAAGAAUUGUUGUAAAUCUAAAUCCAGUCAUCUUAUCUAGACUGAUUCAAAUUACUGUACAUCUCGAUCUUGUUCUGGAGAGAACUAGAUGGAAACUUGUUCAAACAUGUUUUUUUAUUUGAAUUUUGUAAAUAGACCUUUAUCAGAUAUGUACAAGAAAUGGAAUCAGUUUGCAUUCUUCCAAAAAUGGAAAAUAACAAAAUCUGAUUUUUUUGUUAAAAAAAAUAUAAAAAUCUUGAUUUUUUUUUUUCAGCUGGAGAAAUAUCUAAAAAAAAAUAUUGCUCUCAUCCAUGUUUUCGGAGUCAAUAAGAUUGACAUAUACAGCAUACACAUUUUUUAGUUAGUGUCCGCCAUAUAUUAUAUAUUUCUCAGGGCUACACAGGAGAAACGACUUUUAACUUUAGAUCAUCACUCAUGAAGAAAAAAAAGGAAAGAUUAGUUGUGGAACUUCAUGCCCAACAUUUUUAUCCAAAUUGUACUUAUUUCUUUCUUUUUAAAUAGGGAUGUGAUUUAAGUCAAUUAGAUCAACCUGACUUCUAAAACUUGGAUGAGAAAAUGCAUUAUAUUUAAACAUUUGUUUUGUCUAAUCUAGCUCACAGAAUAGAUGAGUAAAGUUAUUGCUUACAGAAACAAGAUCUUUCAAUAGUCUUUCAUUUCUUCAAUAGCCAGAUAUAUGUCAUAUACUUCAGACAAAAAAAAAAUGAAUAGUCCAGAAGCCUUGAUUAACUUGAUAAAUUACCUUGACCUUGUUGUCUAUGAUCAUCAUAACUAGUCAUGCCUGUCCUACUUUGAAUUCAUAUAAACCUUCUUCCUAUAUCAUUCCUUUCUGCCAACACAGUAUGAAACAUCUUUUGGUAUCCAUUUACUCAGCACAAUAAAGCUGUGGCAAACACUUCAGUGGUCAUACUUAAAACAAACACAACAUUUUUAAGAAUGCAACAUUUUUUUUUUUUACAUUACAUGCAAUUAAAAAUAUUUAUCCAAAAAACUAAUAUGUUAUUAAAUAAAAUACUUUAACAUUUAACUCUGCCUGAGGCAGUUCUACUCAUUCUAUAGAAUGCCUUGGCAAGCUGAGCACAAUAGGCAAAGUACAAAUGAAGAAAUUAUUUCCUCCUUUGCCUGAAACUGUCAUUCUAUAGAAUUCAAGAGUUUGUAAAAUCAGUGUGAAAUCCUUUUUUUUUUUGAUUCCCAUAAGUAUUGUAUUGCAUCAUAGUAACAGAUGAAAUAUUUACUUGCACUGUGUAGUGUAUGCCAGUUACAAUUUUUGUUUCAUGAAAAUUAAAGUGACUGAUGACUGGUAAGCUUACUGGCAAUGUGAAGACCAUAGUUCUCUUGAAAUAUUUUAAACUUUUAAAAUGUCUACAGCUGAUGAGACCAUCAUUUCAAAUGAGCUUUUCAUGACUCCAAGGGCUUCUAUUGCUUCUUCCUCUUCUUCUAAUAAGCUACCGGCACCUAAAUUGACAAAUUAUUCAUUUAGAGACUCAUAUAAUAUUUGUCUUUUAAUGCACUUCCCGUCUAUCACGCAGUCUCCAUUAGUAGCACUAAACAGGGUCAAUAUAUUGACCUUCAUGUUCUUAUAUACCGGUACAUUUUUUUAAUUCUUUACCGGUACCGGUACUUAGAAGUAAAAAAAAAUAGACAAAUCUUUUUUUUCAGGCCCAGAUAUUGACUAUCAAUGUCACUUUGAUAUAUAAAAUAUACAUUAUUACAAUAUAGGCUACUGUUAAAAUCUAAUUUUAAUUUGUUUACUUCCAUAGUGCCUAUACAGUAGUGUCAUAGUUUGUUUAUGUACAAUAAUGAAAUAAUGGACCAUGCUAAGUUAAUUUGAACCGUCGGUAAUGGCGCAGGACUCCAACCGACAAUAAUGUAUAUUUAAAAAAAAAUUCUCCAGCAAGAUCCAAUCGAAAUAUUAUCCACUCUUCUCACGAGAUGAACAUUCAACCUCCCCCCCCCCCUCUCAAAGCAAAAUUCCGAACAAAAACCACCUUCACUUGUCCACCUCCCACUCGAAAGCCACCCUCCUCCUCCAGAGUUAACAGGAGAGGCAGACUGACCUCAUCACUGGUAAACAAAACAAAUAAUUAGAAAGGGGUGGGACUUGCCGACGCAUAUUUGUUGUUGUUUACAAUCAGUGCUGAAUUUUUUUUAUUUUCCUAGCGCAUUAUUUAUCAUUGUUAAAAAAAAAAUUGUCAGCACUAGCCAAUGCUAGCCAGUGAUGAGAGGGACAUUCGGAGUAGGCCUAUAUAUAGUGCACGUAGGCAUAUGUCUGGAAUAGACGUGACCUUCGCGUGCAAACAAAAAUCGUCAGGAUAACUAUGUACGACAGACGUGAGAACUUUAUCCGUUCUGUUAGGUCUUCUUUAAAAAACGUUUAAUUGCGGAAGACGCCACUCGCUAAAACGGUCUAGAUCUAGGACUACCGGUACCAUUGAAAAGAUGAAACGACGUUUCUCGUUUAAUUUCGUUUUAAUUUUAUUUGUUUAAUAUUAAUUUAUCAACUAUACAAUCACGGCAUUGCCGUCCCUUUAAAAGUAAGAUGACGGAAUUCGUUUCGGCCCUCCCACCCCCCAUCACUGGUCAGGACGCCCCACUGUUUGAGACACUUUUUUUUUUUUUUUGUUAAUGCGGAAGUGGUCUUGCAAGGAAGUGCUCCGCCGACUCUUUAGAAAGCGCGCGUUUCUGCGUCCACUACUGACCCUCACUGCACACGUUGAGCCAACGCACGUUGUGGUCGGGUCGUCUCAGUAGUGGACAUAAGAUGGACUGCUCAAAACGGGCUAGCCUCAAGGUUCAAGUGAUGACAUCGUCAGGCUUAAGGUAGAACUUUUGAUCAUGUACUUGUAUAAUACUUCACGAUGAUUGUUAAACCACUAAAUUGUCUAGACUAGAUAUAAUUAUAUAGAUAUAUGAAAAUCCGGAAGUAAAAAAAUGGCGUUUUUCUUACUUUCUGUACAUAGGCCCUUGAUUGAAAUCGAUUAUAAUGAUUGUAAAUCCAUUGAAAUCGUUGCCAAAAUGGGUGAAUAUGGAUACAUUUUAUAUUGAGGAACAUUUUUUUUUCAUGUGGAUUAUAAAAAAAUGUGUAUUUUCCUACUUUUUUUAAACUUGAAGGUAUAUCAUAUAAUAUGUAUUUUUAUGUUUACUGAUACUCAUUUUAGGUAAGGUCCAAGAAGUUGAUUUUUUUUCCCCGUAAUAGAUUAUACAUCUCAAUUAUUUAGUUAAUAGUUAUUCUCAUAGAAAGAGAAAAAAAAAUAGAGUUAAUAGUCCUGGGUUGGGGCAUCAAACUCAAACCCAUGAGUUAGGGAGGUGAACAAAAAAAUUUUUUUUUGAAAAAAAAAAUUUUGCUUAGUAAAUCAUUAAAAUACUUUAUUAGAACUGUCCAUCGAUGUAAAAAUUAUGACUGUAUGUUUAACGGUUUUUGGACGCGUUUUUGCUUAACAUUGACCCCAAUGGAAAAAGUGAGACGACAUUUUGUAAAAUUCAACAAAAAAACACACACAGUUUAGUUAAUUUUGACCUCACCAUUUAUUAUUAUACAUCAAAUGAAAGCUUUUGCUGUGCCCUACCCAAGCCUGUUAUAUAUUUAUAUAAUGCUAAAGUAAUUAAGGUAAAAAAAAUAAGAAUAAUGAGGUCACUAAACAUUUUUUUUAACGAUAAUGCUUAUAAUUUCGUUAUUUUUAAUAAACAAACACAAAACCAUGUAUCAGAAGAAAGCUAAAGUUGUACAUUACCUAUCUAUAUAUUCAUUUGUAUAUUAAUUAACAUAAAAAAUAGUUAAAUGAUGGGUAACAAAGUCACUGAUGACAACUUACAAUCAAUUGCUUCAUCUGGAUAUAAAGUUUCUGAUGUAUGAUACUGAAUAUGACAUAGAUGAUACAGGCGAUUCAGUAUGGUAAUAUGAGGUAUUAGCCAUGACAUGAGUUGUAGGCAGUAGUUGAAGAUGAUACAGUUGAUUCAGUAUGGUAAGAUGAGGUAUUACCAUGACACGUGAUGAAGGUAGUAGUCGAAUGCAAUGAAGAUCUAGAGUGUUAGUACAACAUUCAUAUAAUACUGUUGAUGGUGACAUACAUUAAUACAGGUGAUUCUUAGUUCAGGUUUUAACCAUAACGAGUUGUAGCCAGUAAACGGUAAGUACAUGACAUGAGUUGUAGGCAGUAGUUGAAGAUGAUACAGUUGAUUCAGUAUGUCAAAAUAAGGUGAUUCUUAGUAAGUUCAGGUGUUAACCAUAGCAUGAUUUAUAGCCAAUGAAGCUCUAGUGUUUAAUUGAAAAUUGUGGCAGUGGAUGAAGUGAAAUGAAAGGGUUAUGAUGUGAAGAAAAUGGUGUUACUAGUUUAAAUUACUUUUAAAAGUUAGAUAUAUGUGAGGUUAUUAGCCCGCCUUCUAAUGCGUGCAGCUCCCAUGGCCCAUUCGACCCUUUCUUUCCGAGCUGAUUCCGUCAGGGAAUCUAGAUAGGCCACAGUAUUGUUCUUUUUGGAACGGACUUUAGAAGAGAUGUAGCAGACUGUUGCACUGGGUGCACGUUUUUUUCUGCACUGAACAUGCCAACCACCUCUUCUGAGUCCAUAUUAUGUGACCUAGCAGAUUCUGCUUCAAGCUUCAUCAGCUCAGAUUCAUCCAUACUUAGAAAACUUUCAUACUGCCUCUGGAUAACAGACGCAAUAGAAGACAGGCAAUCUUUCAACAUACGCUCAACUUGCAUAUCUUGAGGGCAUAGCAAAAGAACUUGCAGUACAAGGUCAUUGGCAUCAAGGUCUUCAUCAAAGAAGUCUAAGCUCCUUGUAAAAAUGCUGAAAGGAUUUUUCAGACAUUCAUUUACUCAGGCUAGAACUCCUUUAAUGACUGUGACGCCCUCAUAAUAAGAAAUAUUUCUCACAUCAUCUUGGGAUGUGUAAAAUUUUCUCAUCCAAGGGCCAGUCAACAGUUUUCCUAUUAGGCCCAUGACAUAUAAUUGUUUUUUUGCAGCUUGAAGUUGGAGGUCGUACAGCAAUGCUGCUGUCAGACCUCCACAAGGAAGGGCAGAGGCAGAUCCCAAAAAAAAUCUAAAAAUUGUUGAGAAUGAAGGACCAAUAUUCCACAAGUAUGGAAUAAUACGUGGAAACGAUUACCCCUAUACCGGGGAAUAAGGCCCUUCUUCAAUUUUUCUUUAACUAAAAAGGAAACAAAACCUUUGGGAUUGCCUGUACCCAUUUUGUAACGCAUUUUGGUCAGCUGCAAAACAAUGUUACUUGCCAAGCAGUCACAACCAAAAAGCUUACCUUGUUCUGUCUGCAGGGUCUUAAGUGCCUCCGUGCAGCCUUUAGCAAUGCUAUCAAGCGGGUGCACGUGGCAAUUAAGCUCAGUCAAGGAUUUGUCCCACAACUCAGACAAUCACAUCACAGUGGCAUGGUUUACAUGAGCCCGGUCAGACAUAGUGUUGGAGAUAUUUUGGAUAAUUCUAUCCCGGCACUCAUGUAAAUCUGUCUUGUGAAAAUUGGAGUACACUUCUGCCAAGUUUUGAAUUGCUUGACAGAUGUGAUUCCCAUAAUCCUCAGCCGUCCCACCACUCAGGUCAUCUAAAGCAAUUACUAAAGUAUUAGACUUGGUGGUGAGAUGCACUGAAUUGACAUGUACACCCUCUUGGGUUGUGGCAUCAAACCCAAGAGUUAGGCCUGGUGUAGCCAUGACAACUUCAGCGGCUUGCAGGUCUGAUAUAACACCAAGUUCUCUUACACAGUUUUCAAUACAACUUUUGUCAGGGACAGAAUCAAUAAGGAUCCCCAUUUUGUGGGACAAACUAUCAAUUACAUGUCAGGGACAGAAUCAAUAAGGAUCCCCAUUUUGUGGGACAAACUAUCAAUUACAGAGGGGAUUCUUUUGAUGGGGACAUUGUUAGAAAUACAAUCAUAAAUAAUUAAUCUGGCUAUUACAUUAUAAGUUUUUUUGUCUUUUUUUAAGGGAAGUAGCAUCAAUAUUUUCUAAUUGUGAAACUUUAUCUUCAAGGACCAGUUUGUCACACUGAAGGGCCUUAAUGAUUGUGUCCCUCUCAAGCAAUUCUUUAUUAUGAUUUGAUUUAAUUUUAAUUAUUGAUUGAUCAUAUUUAUUUUUUGUGGCUAUUAAUUUAGUCUUCAAUUUAGCAAUUUCUUCAUGGCCAGAUUCAGUUUUAAGUUUUUUUAAUUCCUUUUUAAGAUUUCUAAUAGUUUGUUUUUUUCUCUCCACUGACUGCUUAAAGUUUUUAAUUAAAUUAGGCUGAUAAUUAAUUUUUAACUUAAGUUCCUUCAUUUUUUUAAAUGUUUCUUCUUCUUUCCUCACCCCUAGACUCGGCGAGCAAAGAUAAACGCCUUUUUAAGGCUUUUUUUUCUGGGUGUAAGUUCCCCUUUUGUGGGGAAUAGAUUCAGUGAUUGGUGUAUGUAUGUUUUGCACAGCUGGUAUUUCAAUAUUGGAAUUAGGAUUAGGGACAGUAUGAGAAGGGAGUUGAUAAAAAAUUUGAGAGCAUAUUAUUUUUAUUUGUCCUAGAUUUCUUUUUAAAUUUUUUUUUAUAUUUUAUAAGUGUACUGUGAAUUAAUCUUUUUAAGUUAACUAAGGUUUCAGAGGAGGGAAUUCUAAAGGAAGAACUUAUAAUUUCUGUAGAAUUUGGAUAAGAUGAGUCAUUGGCUAUAAAAACAUGAAGCGCAUGGCCAUUUAAGCACAUCUUAUCCAUAGUGCCAGAUCCAGGUUCUGGUAAAUCACCAUAGUUUUCAGAUAGAAACUGAAACAGUUCUGAGUCUUUAAGUGACCAAACUGCUGCAGUCCUUUUUUUAACAUGAUUUCUGAAAAUAAAACUGCAUAUUAAUAUUUUGCUUAAUUUUGUGUAAUAGAAAUUUUGCCCUAUACUUAGCAAUUAGAAAACUGUAACUGUAAGGCAUUUUUUAUUUUACUUCUUUCUAAUCUGAACUAUUCCUACUCUUAGCAUUCUAAUAUAUAAUUAUGCCAACCAUGUCUAUAGCAUAAUAGAUGUAUUUCAUCAUUACUAUUGCUUACAUUUAUUAUAUUAGUAAUGUUACUAGUUAGUAAAUGAAGCUUUAACAAGUUUAAAGUUAAUAGUUAAUAAAGUUAAUUAUAAAAAAAAACCUUGAUGUAGCUAGGAUGAUCAAAAUUAAAUUUCAUUACUAAUAAAUAAAUAAUCAUUAUGAUAAUGAUAAUUUAAAUCUUGUAAAUGAAAUUAUUAUAAUUAUUAAAUGAUUAGGAUCUCACUGACUGAGUUACUCUGUGUGUGAGUCACCUCAGCUUUUUUUUUUUUUUUUAAUUUUAUUUUUUACACUUGUCACUUCCUAGACAUAACCAAAUCAAGUUUUAGUCUAGUCUAUAGCUCAGACUCUAACCUUAACCCAUAUUAACCUAUUCUGGAUUAGUAUUACGAUAAUUAAACAGUUUAAAAGCUGAAAAAUUAUCAAAAGAUGUCCAGUCAUUCAAUAAUCGGUUGUUCGCUGCAACAACCUAGUAUUAAAGUACAAUAAUUACCUGAAUAGUUGAUAAUAUUAUAAAAAAUUUUGUCUUAUGGAUAGUUCGGACUAAGAUCGCUUUUAGCGAUGCUUCUCUCUCUCUCUCGAAUUCAGAGCGAAUGAUAGAAAAAAAAACAAGUUUUAAAAAAAGCGUAUGCUCUUCAAUUUCGGCGACGCCACUUCCGUUUGGUUUAUAAAAAACAUGAUAAAACAUUAUUUUGUAUAUUUUUUUCUGUUUUUUAAAUAUGAUAAAUAUGGAAGCCAUUAUGUUGCCAAUUAGGGUUGGAGACUGUUCCUCAACUGACUUAGUUUCCAACCAGGACAUCGCCAACUGUUGCAUUGUGAACCCUGUGAUACUGGAAAUCAAACAUCCCAAGAGCCCUUUCACUGUGCAUGUUGUGAAGAGGAGCUUUAGAUGUCCUUACCACAGUCUCAGCAUCAGGAUUUGAAAGGGAGCCAUCCAGAUAGCUAGAUAGCUGUCUCUGUAGCACCUUACAAAAAACCUUCAGCAAGUUCUUUUGUGAUCUCGAUAAAUACUUCAUCAACAGUCACAUUUCUCAGGGCUUUUUAGAAUGAGAUCUUCAGUAUCCAGAGUCUGGCCAAAGCAAUUAGUUAGCAUUGAGAGGAGAUUCUCUGGAGAAUCCACAAUAGCCUUUAGUUUGACAAUACAGACCUUCACAUGAAGGAUCUAGAAAAUGAGAGUAAAAAUAAAUAUAAUAGCUGCAUAAAUGGUAUCGUUAAAAUUACAUUAUUUUUUUUCUUUAAAAUUAUAGAUGUGGUAGAAAGAUUUCAUCUUUCUCUCAUUUUUGUAUACCAAUGUCAUCCAUGGUCCAGUCAACAUCUUGCCAAAAAGCCCUGUUAAUAAGUAUAAUAAUUGUCAAAAGGGUUGAGACUCCUAAAAAGGAAUUAUUUUGAAACUAUAAAAAUGAAUUUGCCGAAAGAAAAUGUAAAAGUUAUUACCUAAGACUCUCAGCUGAACAAGAAUGUUUGGUUGCUGCAAGUCUUCAAUCAAUGACAGCCGAUAACUGGUCUCAUUGCAGUAUCUUUGCAAGUACAACUGGUCUCAUUGCAGUAUCUUUGCAAGUACCGUUGCAACAGAUUCUUCAGCCAAAUGAUAAAGUCAGCAGAGUUGAACAGGAUGUGAUGUCUGUUCCCCAUAUAUCUGACAAUCACCCCAACUUUCAGAUCUGAGAGUCUUUAAAAAGCCUUGAAGCUAGAUGGAUAACCUGUUGAUGCCUUGUGUCUGAAAAAAAUAAAAUCUUAGGGAGAUAAUAAACAUUUUAAUAUAGAGAUAUUUAGACAAUUUCUUUUUUAAAAAACUUACCUCAGUUUUGAAACUGCUUGAAUCAAGUAAGCAUAUUUCCCUUCUUUGCCGAAAGUGUUGCUAUUCACUGAAUACUUAUGGACUUUCUUUGCUUCAUUUGCCAAGCCAUCAAGUGGGUGAAGGUUACAGUGCAAGACUAACAAAUCUAUGGCAAAGAGCUGAGUUGCUGGCUAACACAACUAUUAAAGGGGGACCCUAUCUGUGAUGCUUCCUAAAUUUGUACAGUAUUCGAUGUUGUAUGCCUGAAUAUGUGGAUUAUGUUGUCCCUAAAUUUCUAAUAACGCCUACAAUGUGCACAAAGUAAUCUAGUGUAGACCCACCCCCAAGUUUACCUAUCUCUAGUGUAAAUGUUUUCCCACCAAAUGAUAAAUUUACUUCAUUAAUAGGUGAGCCAUCAAUAGUUGUGGCAUCCCAAGCCAAUGUUGCUACCAGCUCUGGUGCUGUAUACGAAGCCUCCACCAACUGCAAAUCGGAUAUAAUGUCCAUCUCAUUAGCCAUCUGUGCAGUAGUAGAUGGAGCAGGAAUCUUCACAAUUGAAAUGUGUGUCAGUUCAUUUAAAAUAUACCUGACAAGAAGCCCUGCUUUUUCUACUGGCACUUGACUCUCCAAACAAGCAUAGAGACACUUGCGAAAUGGGGCAUCAUACUUUCCUCCCAGGCAGAUGCUCUGAGUAGAUUGGCUGGAAUAGCUAUCAGUUAGCAUCGCACCAAGUUCAUCUAUCCACACCUUUCUUUCCUUCAAAUGAUAACUUUAAUGACUGAAUUCUGUCCUUCAAAAGGUUUCUCUGCUCUGAUCUUAUCUUAGCAAUUCUUUUCCAUUUAAAAAGUUCAGCUGCUGCCUUCUUCAGUGUCAAACUCAACUGAUGAUUUUCUUUACACAUGCGUUCAUUUUCACUCUUAAGUGUAGCUUUCACUUGACGAUAAGAUGUUAUCAGCGUAGAUUUCCUACCAAGCUCCUGAUUGACUCUUCUGGUGUUGAAGCGCUUCCUUAAAAGACGAAUCGCUUUUCUGCUGACAAGUAGUUUUUCUGACAGACUGGCACUGUGAGCUACAAAAUGCUAUCUGUGUGCAACAACGAGCACAGUGUCGUUCUGUAUUACCUGGCCUUUCAGUGGCCUCAACAUCACCUUUAGGUCACAAGUUCUUUACCAUGCUAGGUUGUUCAGUGCUGACAGGUCUCUUUUUGCCAGCAGCAUUGAUAGAAAAAUCUUUGUCCAAGUAAUGUGCAACUAGGUAUAGAAGAAAGUUUGUUCAAGUAAGGUGCAACUAGGUGCCAGCUGCGGGUAAUCUUCCUAGAAAAGUUCUUCAUCUCAGUCAUAUGCCUUCAAACCUUAUUGUCAGCUGUAGCCUUGGUUGUUGCAAUGCCAGCUUUUGUAAUAUAACUGAAAACAGCAUCAGCCACAUUCACAACAGUGUUGUUGUAAAGAAGAUAUUCUAUGUGACCAAAUUUCAGUUAAAAUCCAACUGCUGCUGCCACAGCAGCAAUGGAAAUAUCAACACAAUAAGUGUCUGAUACAUAAAUCCUGAAGUCCUUCAUGCUGCCAGGUAAAAAGGAACCUGCCACCGAAGUGCCUGUCACAACUAUAGGACUGUGCCGUAUCCUCAUCAGUCUGCACAACAAUCCUGUCAACACCUACAACAUUCACAUCAUGGCCUGCCACGCCCACAUUAGCUGAGGAAAAGGUCACAAAAUUUAGUAUGCUAAUAAGCAUAAUAAAAAAAAUUAUGUAUGGUCAACUUACCAGUAUGCUCAAUACGCUGGAACUCCAUGAAGACAAUAGUAAAGCACUGAUAUAAAUCUAAAGAAUUAACUGAUAUCUGGUCCUUGAACAAAGGGCUCCGAUUAUCCUUUUGUGUCUGAUUUUGAAGACGAAAACUUGUAAUUUGAGUUGUUUCAUUUCUUUGAUGUGUCUGCUUCUUUCCUCACUCCUGACUUGGAGAGUAAAGAUUAAUACCUUUUCAAGGCUUUUUUUUUGUGGGUGUAUUGGUAAGUUCCUCUCUUAUGUUAAAGUAGGUACUUUGAUAAAAAAUUCAAACUUAAUGAAUCUUUUUUCUUAAUGAAACUAGUAUAGUUGGAAUUUAACUUAGAUCUUUUUGAAAGGAGUUCAGUGAUGAGUAUGCUUUUAAGUUAAGUAGAACAUAAGUUAUGACCAUUUUAGUGUCAGAAAAUUAAAAAAACAAAAAUUUUGACCAAAAUGUUUCAACUAAUAUGCAUAUCCCAAAUAUAUAUAUAUAUGUUUGUGUAGUUUACACCAAGCCUGUAUGUAUCAUCGACGUGUUGAUUGUUGUCAUGGACCAUAAAAGAAAUAUCACUGAUAAAACCAUCCUUAAAUAGUUCGUAGCCCUUUAUUAAAACAUUGGUAUAGUUAUUUGAACAUUCAUGAACUUCGUUGAUGUAUAUAAAUUUUCAAAUUUUUGUUAAUGUUAAACCUUUAGAAAUAGAGGAGCAACAGCAAUGGAAAUAUAAGAAGACAUGGCCAUUCUCCUCUUUGUUGUUCAACCACCACGUGACUUUGCUGAAAGUAGGUCAGAAAUGAAGAACAACACCAUUUUUUAAAAAUAAGAACAAAAACUCACACAACUUCGUUAAUUUUAAUAUCCCAGUUUAUUGAUAUGGAUCAGAUGAAAAAAAAAAAGAAGCUUAUAAUCAUAAGCCUCUUAUAUUUAAUGCUUAAGUAAAUAAAAAUAUUUAAAAAAAAAAAA